CUGCGAAUGGCUCAUUAAAUCAGUUAUCGUUUAUUUGAUAGUACCUUACUACUUGGAUAACCGUGGUAAUUCUAGAGCUAAUACAUGCUAAAAACCCCGACUUCGGGAGGGGUGUAUUUAUUAGAUAAAAAACCAAUGCCCUUCGGGGCUCUUUGGUGAUUCAUGAUAACUUAACGGAUCGCAUGGCCUUGCGCCGGCGACGGUUCAUUCAAAUUUCUGCCCUAUCAACUUUCGAUGGUAAGGUAUUGGCUUACCAUGGUUUCAACGGGUAACGGGGAAUUAGGGUUCGAUUCCGGAGAGGGAGCCUGAGAAACGGCUACCACAUCCAAGGAAGGCAGCAGGCGCGCAAAUUACCCAAUCCCGACUCGGGGAGGUAGUGACAAUAAAUACUGAUACAGGGCUCUUUUGGGUCUUGUAAUCGGAAUGAGUACAAUUUAAACCCCUUAGCGAGGAACAAUUGGAGGGCAAGUCUGGUGCCAGCAGCCGCGGUAAUUCCAGCUCCAAUAGCGUAUAUUAAAGUUGUUGCAGUUAAAAAGCUCGUAGUUGAACCUUGGGCCUGGCUGGCCGGUCCGCCUCACCGCGUGUACUGGUCCGGCCGGGCCUUUCCUUCUGGAGAGCCGCAUGCCCUUCACUGGGUGUGUCGGGGAACCAGGACUUUUACUUUGAAAAAAUUAGAGUGUUCAAAGCAGGCCUUUGCUCGAAUACGUUAGCAUGGAAUAAUAGAAUAGGACGUGCGGUCCUAUUUUGUUGGUUUCUAGGACCGCCGUAAUGAUUAAUAGGGAUAGUCGGGGGCAUCAGUAUUCAAUUGUCAGAGGUGAAAUUCUUGGAUUUAUUGAAGACUAACUACUGCGAAAGCAUUUGCCAAGGAUGUUUUCAUUAAUCAGUGAACGAAAGUUAGGGGAUCGAAGACGAUCAGAUACCGUCGUAGUCUUAACCGUAAACUAUGCCGACUAGGGAUCGGGCGAUGUUUCUAUCUUGACUCGCUCGGCACCUUACGAGAAA
rnacentral:rRNA from 1 species